UACGUAGGGACCGAGCGUUGUCCGGAAUCAUUGGGCGUAAAGAGCGUGUAGGCGGCUUGCUAAGUCUUGCGUGAAACUCUCGGGGCUCAACCCCGAGCGGUCGUGGGAAACUGGCAGGCUAGAGUGCGGGAGAGGAGAAUGGAAUUCCUGGUGGUAAGCGGUGAAAUGCGCAGAUAUCAGGAAGAACACCCGUGGCGAAGCGGUUCUCUGGAACGCAACUGACGCUGAGACGCGAAAGCGUGGGGAGCAAACAGG
rnacentral:rRNA from 1 species